GAAGACAAUUUUCAUCGACUCGUAGAGUUUGUGGUGAAAAUAGCUGGAGACGUUUCAAGAAAGUAUUUUGAAUCUUGCAUUUUGAAAGGUGACACAUUCGAAAAAUAUUUAUGGAAAAACAUUCAUGAAAUUCUGCAUUUAUAUGAGGGACAUCCCUGUUGCAAAUGUACACAACAAUAUAGUGCAUGUACAAAAGGUUUUUCAUAUCUAUGUAAGUGUAAGCCAGUUUUAACCGAGAAGCAAAUAUUAGAACUGUUUACGUAUGAUCGCAGCAGUUUCGAACCUAAACAUGUAAACCGUAAAGGUAAACUGAAGCAACGUUGUUUGUGUGCGUACAAAGUGAAAUCGCCCAUAUCUCUGAAUUCUGUUGACAUUACGCUACUUUGUUCAAUAAUUAAAAGGAUUGAAAGUAUGAAUGUACAUCGAGGUAUUGACAAAAAGUAUGAAGAAAUAAGAGAAACAAGAAACUACAUCUUUCACCAGUCUGACUCUUUAUCUAUAUCACAUCGGGCAUUUGAAAAGAAAUGGAAAAUACUCAAAGAUUCAACGGAAUAUAUGUUCCAAUACAUAACUGAUAAACAGUUUAAAGAAAACAUCAUUAAAAAGAUAAAUGAAAUCAGAGGAACUGUUAGGAUAUCAAAUGAUAAUUUAGCUCAAAAACAGAUCUGCGAGGAUUACUGGAGAGACAAAUGCGCAGAACUCGAGAAACGACAACAGGAAGAAUUUUCGCAAAUUUUGCUAAGAUUUCAAGAGGUUUUCAAUUUGGAUGAAGACACAAUUGAAGACCAUAAAGAGACAGUGACAAACAAAAUUGAUGCAUUACAAACCUUUGUUAAUAAGGUAAACAUUUGCGUCAAUGGAAAUAUUGAGCUAAAGAAUCUACUAACGUGUGUAGAUGUUGAGGCACCAGAAGACGGU